AUUGAACGCUGGCGGCAGGCUUAACACAUGCAAGUCGAACGAUGACUCUCUAGCUUGCUAGAGAAGAUUAGUGGCGGACGGGUGAGUAACAUUUAGGAAUCUGCCUAGUAGUGGGGGAUAGCUCGGGGAAACUCGAAUUAAUACCGCAUACGACCUACGGGUGAAAGGGGGCGCAAGCUCUUGCUAUUAGAUGAGCCUAAAUCAGAUUAGCUAGUUGGUGGGGUAAAGGCCCACCAAGGCGACGAUCUGUAACUGGUCUGAGAGGAUGAUCAGUCACACCGGAACUGAGACACGGUCCGGACUCCUGCGGGAGGCAGCAGUGGGGAAUAUUGGACAAUGGGGGCAACCCUGAUCCAGCCAUGCCGCGUGUGUGAAGAAGGCCUUUUGGUUGUAAAGCACUUUAAGCAGGGAGGAGAGGCUAAUGGUUAAUACCCAUUAGAUUAGACGUUACCUGCAGAAUAAGCACCGGCUAACUCUGUGCCAGCAGCCGCGGUAAUACAGAGGGUGCGAGCGUUAAUCGGAAUUACUGGGCGUAAAGCGAGUGUAGGUGGCUCAUUAAGUCACAUGUGAAAUCCCCGGGCUUAACCUGGGAACUGCAUGUGAUACUGGUGGUGCUAGAAUAUGUGAGAGGGAAGUAGAAUUCCAGGUGUAGCGGUGAAAUGCGUAGAGAUCUGGAGGAAUACCGAUGGCGAAGGCAGCUUCCUGGCAUAAUAUUGACACUGAGAUUCGAAAGCGUGGGUAGCAAACAGGAUUAGAUACCCUGGUAGUCCACGCCGUAAACGAUGUCUACUAGCCGUUGGGGUCCUUGAGACUUUAGUGGCGCAGUUAACGCGAUAAGUAGACCGCCUGGGGAGUACGGCCGCAAGGUUAAAACUCAAAUGAAUUGACGGGGGCCCGCACAAGCGGUGGAGCAUGUGGUUUAAUUCGAUGCAACGCGAAGAACCUUACCUGUCUUGACAUAGUGAGAAUCCUGCAGAGAUGCGGGAGUGCCUUCGGGAAUUCACAUACAGGUGCUGCAUGGCUGUCGUCAGCUCGUGUCGUGAGAUGUUGGGUUAAGUCCCGCAACGAGCGCAACCCUUUUCCUUAUUUGCCAGCGGGUUAAGCCGGGAACUUUAAGGAUACUGCCAGUGACAAACUGGAGGAAGGCGGGGACGACGUCGAGUCAUCAUGGCCCUUACGACCAGGGCUACACACGUGCUACAAUGGUAGGUACAGAGGGUUGCUACACAGCGAUGUGAUGCUAAUCUCAAAAAGCCUAUCGUAGUCCGGAUUGGAGUCUGCAACUCGACUCCAUGAAGUCGGAAUCGCUAGUAAUCGCAGAUCAGAAUGCUGCGGUGAAUACGUUCCCGGGCCU
rnacentral:rRNA from 1 species